rnacentral:rRNA from 1 species
UACGAAGGGGGGCUAGCGUUGCUCGGAAUCACUGGGCGUAAAGCGCACGUAGGCGGCUUUCUAAGUCAGGGGUGAAAUCCUGGAGCUCAACUCCAGAACUGCCUUUGAUACUGGAGAGCUAGAGUCCGGAAGAGGUGAGUGGAACUGCGAGUGUAGAGGUGAAAAUUCGUAGAUAUUCGCAAGAACACCAGUGGCGAAGGCGGCUCACUGGUCCGGUACUGACGCUGAGGUGCGAAAGCGUGGGGAGCAAACAGG